rnacentral:rRNA from 1 species
GAUGAACGCUGGCGGCGUGCCUAACACAUGCAAGUCGAGCGAACCUGCAGGAGCUUGCUCCUGUUGGUUAGCGGCGGACGGGUGAGUAACACGUGGGCAACCUGCCUGUAAGACUGGGAUAACACCGGGAAACCGGUGCUAAUACCGGAUAAUCCUUUUCCUCUCAUGAGGAAAAGCUGAAAGUCGGUUUCGGCUGACACUUACAGAUGGGCCCGCGGCGCAUUAGCUAGUUGGUGAGGUAACGGCUCACCAAGGCGACGAUGCGUAGCCGACCUGAGAGGGUGAUCGGCCACACUGGGACUGAGACACGGCCCAGACUCCUACGGGUGGCUG